CAGGAUGACGGCCUUCGGGUUGUAAACUGCUGUUAUAAGGGAAGAAAAAAUCGAGGAGGAAAUGCCUUGACCUUGACGGUACCUUAUCAGAAAGCAACGGCUAACUAUGUGCCAGCAGCCGCGGUAAUACAUAGGUUGCAAGCGUUAUCCGGAAUUAUUGGGCGUAAAGCGUCUGUAGGUUGUUUGUUAAGUCUGGUGUGAAAACUUGGGGCUCAACCCCAAAUUGCAUUGGAUACUGGCAAACUAGAAUUGUGUAGAGGUUAGCGGAAUUCCUUGUGAAGCGGUGGAAUGCGUAGAUAUAAGGAAGAACAUCAACAUGGCGAAGGCAGCUAACUGGACAUAUAUUGACACUGAGAGACGAAAGCGUGGGGAGCAAACAGGAUUAGAUACCCUGGUAGUCCACGCCGUAAACGAUGAUGAUUAGCUGAUGGGGAACUCAUCAGCGCAGCUAACGCAUUAAAUCAUCCGCCUGAGUAGUAUGCUCGCAAGAGUGAAACUUAAAGGAAUUGACGGGGAUCCGCACAAGCGGUGGAGCAUGUGGUUUAAUUUGAAGAUACGCGUAGAACCUUACCCACUCUUGACAUCUUCUGCAAAGCUAUAGAGAUAUAGUGGAGGUUAACAGAAUGACAGAUGGUGCAUGGUUGUCGUCAGCUCGUGUCGUGAGAUGUUCGGUUAAGUCCUGCAACGAGCGCAACCCUUGUCCUUAGUUAAACGUUCUAGGGAGACUGCCCGGGUAACCGGGAGGAAGGUGGGGACGACGUCAAAUCAUCAUGCCUCUUACGAGUGGGGCAACACACGUGCUACAAUGGAUGGUACAGGAAUCCCAAUACGGCGACGUGGAGCAAAUCUCAAAAAACCAUUCUCAGUUCGGAUUGUAGUCUGCAACUCGACUACAUGAAGUCGGAAUCGCUAGUAAUCGUAGAUCAGCUACGCUACGGUGAAUACGUUCUCGGGUCUUGUACACACCGCCCGUCACACCAUGGGAGCUGGUAAUGCCCGAAGUCGGUUUUGUUAACCUACGGAGACAACUGCCUAAGGCAGGACUGGUGACUGGGGUG
rnacentral:rRNA from 1 species